GGGCUUUCUCCUGCACACACAAGGAUCCAGGAGAACAAAGCAGAGGUGGACUCCAAGGAGUGGCUUGGGAGGAAGUAUCUGAGGUGGUGGCAUCACACGGUGAUACUCGUCCGGUGCCAGCGUGACGGGAGGCUGCUGUGUCUGGCAAGGGCAUGGCAUCAAUGGCAGGAAGCCAGCAGGGUGCUGGUCCUGGCUCAGGUGUUGGACCAGCAGUGGCUGGUACAAAAGGCCUGGAGGGUGUGGAGACAACGACAUCUGCAAAACUGUGUGGUGCAGAAGUUUUUGGAG